UGAAACGCUGGCGGCACGCCUAACACAUGCAAGUCGAGCGGCAGCGCGAGUAGUAGCAAUACUACUUGGCGGCGAGCGGCUGGACGGGUGAGAACGCGUAGGAACUUGACCUUUAGAGGGGGAUAACCAAGGGAAACUUUGGCUAAUACCGCAUAUACUCGGAAGAGGAAAGCUGCCCGCAAGGGUGGCGUUAGAGGGAGAGGCCUGGCGUCCGAUUAGCUAGUUGGUGGGGUAAGAGCUUACCAAGGCGAUGAUCGGUAACUGGUGCUGAGAGGACGACCAGUCACACUGGGACUGAGACACGGCCCAGACUCCUACGGGAGGCAGCAGUGGGGAAUAUUGGUGACAAUGGGGGGAACCCUGAUCCAAGCGAUGCCGCGUGGGUGAAGAAGGCCUUUGGGGUUUUAAAGCCCUUUAGGUUAGGAAGAAAGGUAGCAGGUUAAGAGCUAGUUACUGUGACGGUACUAACAGGAAUAAGCACGGCAAACUCUGUGCCAGCAGCCGCGGUAAUACAGAGGGUGCGAGCGUUAAUCGGAAUUACUGGGCGUAAAGGGCGCUAGGCGGUGAUACAUGUGUGAUGUGACAAGCCCCGGGCUUAACCUGGGAAGUGCAUCGACAAACUGUGUUACUGGAGUAUUAUGAGAGGGUGGCGGAAUUGUCCCGGUGUAGCGGUGAAAUGCGUAGAGAUCGGAAGGAACGUCGAUGGCGAAGGCCAGCCACCUGGCAUAAUACUGAGCCGAGGCGCGAAAGCGUGGGGAGCGAACAGAUUAGAUACCCUGGUAGUCCACGCUUGUAAACGAUGAGAACUAGAUGUUGGUUGGGGAACCAAUCAGUAUCGAAGCUAACCGCGAUAAGUUCUCCGCCUGGGAAGUACGGCCGCAAGGUUGAAACUCAAAGGAAUUGACGGGGGCCCGCACAAGCGGUGGGAGCAUGUGGUUUAAUUCGAUGCAACGGCGAAAGAACCUUACCUACCCUUGACAUCCUGCGAAUCUGACAUGAGAGGUUGGAGUGCCGAAAGGAACGCAGAGACAGGUGCUGCAUGGCUGUCGUCAGCUCGUGUUGUGAGAUGUUGGGUUAAGUCCCGUAACGAGCGCAACCCUUGUCCUUAGUUGCCAUCAUUUAGUUGGGGACUCUAAGGAGACUGCCGGUGAUGAACCGGAGGAAUGCGGGGACGACGUCAAGUCAUCAUGGCCUUAUGGGUAGGGCUACACACGUGCUACAAUGAGGGCGGUACAGAGGGUAGCGAACCUGCGAAGGGGAGCCAAUCUUUGUAAAGCGCCUCGUAGUCCAGAUUGGAGUCUGCAACUCGACUCCAUGAAGUUGGAAUCGCUAGUAAUCGCUGAAUCAGCAACGUCGCGGUGAAUACGUUCCCGGGCCUUGUACACAACGCCUGUCACGUCAUGGGAGUGGAUGGUACCAGAAGCGAGUAGUUUAACCGUAAGGGAGGCGCUUGCCACGGUAUGAUUCAUGACUGGGGACG
rnacentral:rRNA from 1 species